rnacentral:rRNA from 1 species
AACGGCUUUACCAUGUUGACAACACUGGUUCCCGUAAGAUCACCGAAGUUAAGCAACAUUGGUCGUGGUUAGUACUUGGAUGGAUGACCGUCUGGGUGCACACCACGUGCUGUU